rnacentral:rRNA from 1 species
AUUGAACGCUGGCGGCAUGCCUUACACAUGCAAGUCGAACGGCAGCGGGGGAGAAGCUUGCUUUUCCUGCCCGCGAGUGGCGAACGGGUGAGUAAUACAUCGGAACGUGCCCUGUAGUGGGGGAUAACUAGUCGAAAGAUUAGCUAAUACCGCAUACGACCUGAGGGUGAAAGUGGGGGACCGCAAGGCCUCAUGCUAUAGGAGCGGCCGAUGUCUGAUUAGCUAGUUGGUGGGGUAAAGGCCUACCAAGGCGACGAUCAGUAGCUGGUCUGAGGGGACGAUCGGCCACACUGGGGCUGAGACACGGCCCAGACUCCUACUGGAGGCAGCAGUGGGGAAUUUUGGACAAUGGGCGAAAGCCUGAUCCAGCAAUGCCGCGUGUGUGAAGAAGGCCUUCGGGUUGUAAAGCACUUUUGUCCGGAAAGAAAUGGCUCUGGUUAAUACCCUGCGGUUUUGACGUUACCGACAGAAUAAGCACCGGCUAACUUCGUGCCAGCCGCCGCCGUAACAC